rnacentral:rRNA from 1 species
CCUACGGGAGGCUGCAGUGGGGGAUAUUGCACAAUGGGCGAAACCCUGAUGCAGCGACGCCGCGUGAGGGAAGAAGUAUUUCGGUAUGUAAAGCUCUGUCAGCAGGGAAGAAAAUGACAGUACCUGACCAAGAAUCCCCUGCUAACUACGUGCCAGCAGCCGCGGGAAUACGUAGGGGGCAAGCGUUAUCCGGAUUGACGGGGUGUAAAGGGAGCGUAGACGGUUAUGCAAGUCAGGAGUGAAAGCCCGGGGCCCAACCCCGGGACUGCUUUGGAAACUGUGUAACUGGAGUGCAGGAGAGGCAGGCGGAAUUCCAGGUGUAGCGGUGAAAUGCGUAGAUAUCAGGAGGAACACCGGCGGCGAAGGCGGCCUGCUGG